UACGGAGGGGGCUAGCGUUGUCCGAAGUUACUGGGCGUAAAGCGCGCGUAGGCGGGUUGGUAAGUCCGCUGUGAAAACCCGAAGCUCAACUUCGGGCCUGCAUCCGAAACUGCCCGACUAGAGGUAGGUAGGGGAGAUCGGAAUUCCUGGUGUAGCGGUGAAAUGCGCAGAUAUCAGGAGGAACACCGGUGGCGAAGGCGGAUCUCUGGGCCUUACCUGACGCUCAGGUGCGAAAGCUAGGGGAGCGAACAGG
rnacentral:rRNA from 1 species